rnacentral:rRNA from 1 species
UACGGAGGGUGCGAGCGUUGUCCGGAAUCAUUGGGCGUAAGGGCGCGUAGGUGGCCCGGUCAGUCCGUGGUGAAAGCGCGGGGCUCAACCCUGCGUCGGCCAUGGAUACUGCCGCGGCUGGAGCACUGUAGAGGCAGGCGGAAUUCCGGGUGUAGCGGUGGAAUGCGUAGAGGAUCCGGAAGAACACCGGUGGCGAAGGCGGCCUGAGCUGG